AUGACAGAGAAUCUUCCAUUCACUGAUUCACUCCCCAAAUGGCCAAGCCUGUCAGGGUUGGGCCAGGAGCCAGGAACUCCAUUUGGGUCUCCCAUGUGGGUGCAGGGGCCCACGGACUUGGGCCUUCUUCUGCUGUUUUGCAGGUGCAGCUGGGAGCUGGGUCAGAAGCAGAGCAGCAGGACAGGAAGUGGCGCUCAGGCUGGGAUAUGGGCAUUGCCGUGCCCCGGGCUGGCGCUGUUGGGAUGCGGGCAUCGCCGUGCCUCGGGCUGGCACUGUUGGGAUGCGGGCAUCGCCGUGCCCCGGGCUGGCACUGUUGGGAUGCGGGCAUCGCCGUGCCCCGGGCUGGCACUGUUGGGAUGCGGGCAUCGCCGUGCCCCGGGCUGGCACUGUUGGGAUGCGGGCAUCGCCGUGCCCCGGGCUGGCACUGUUGGGAUGCGGGCAUCGCCGUGCCCUGGGCUGGCACUGUUAGGAUGCAGGCAUCGCUGUGCUCCGGGCUGGCACUGUUGGGAUGCGGGCAUCGCUGUGCCCCGGGCUGGCGCUGUUGGGAUGCGGGCAUUGCCGUGCCCCGGGCUGGCACUGUUAGGAUGCAGGCAUCGCUGUGCCCCGGGCUGGCGCUGUUGGGAUGCGGGCAUCGCCGUGCCCCGGGCUGGCGCUGUUGGGAUGCGGGCAUCGCCGUGCCCCGGGCUGGCACUGUUAGGAUGCAGGCAUCGCUGUGCCCCGGGCUGGUGCUGUUGGGAUGCGGGCAUCGCUGUGCCCCGGGCUGGCGCUGUUCUCAUCCCUCUCUGGGCGGCCGGGGUCUUGCAGGAGGAAUCACACGUGUUUCUGAAGCUCCAGCAUCCUGCACUGAGGGCCAGCCUCGGGACGGAAGCUGAGGAUUUUGCAGGAAUGCAAGGUGAGCCAGCCUUGCGCCCAGCCAGUCUCCUGCUCUGCAGACGUCCCGGGUGUCUGGUUGGCAGGAGCCAGCCUCGGCUCCCACAAUUCGGUUGCAGUCUUAGCCUUGCUGUUGCUGCUGUCCUGUGA
rnacentral:lncRNA from 1 species